GUGAGGCUGGGUCCCUGGAGGGCUGGGCCCCUGAGACAGGCAGUGCCCUGCUCUGGGGGCAGCAGUUGCUGUAACAGCAGUUACAGCUGCCCGUUGCUCUGAACGCCCUGUUGGUCUGUUUGCUCAGGAUGCAGCCAUCAGAAACCUGCGGCCCCUUCCGGGGGCUGGAAACCAUCUACAAGUCAGGGAAGAGGUGGGUGCUAGUGCUGGAGCAGUCCAACCCCAACAUCACCUGGUUUGCCUGGGUCUACCAGCACCUGCUGGAGAACACAUGCCUACUGUUCUUCAUGUCCGUGGCCCUGAUAGCUGUGAUCUACUUCAACAUCCAGGUGGUGAGAGGCCGCCAGAAGGUCAUCUGCCUGCUGCAGGAGCAGAUUGCCAAUGAAGGGAAGGAUAAGCUGUUCCUCAUGGAGAAGCUCCGCUCCGUGUACAAGUACAGAGGCAGGCGCUCCUGAGUGCCAGGAAGGAAUGGGAUGGAACAGACUCUGCUUGCAGCUGGGACUGAAUCUGUGCAUCAGAGCACAGCGCUGGAAGCUGGGGGACCAUGGAGUGCUGGGGAAGAUCCUCCUCUUGCCAUGGCCAAGGACCCGUUGGGAGGUGUCAUUGGGAGUGCUGCAUCCCAGGGAUGCAGGAGCUCCUGCUGCCUGGAGCUGCUGGGAUGCAGCAGGCGCGGGACCCAGCCUGCCUACACACCCCAGGGCACAGCAGGACUGCUUCACCUCACAGCCCUGCUCCAUGGGGCUCACUACUUGCAGAGAACUGCCCUUCAGCUCUCCCUCCUGCCAGCGUGCCCUGGCUGUUCUCAGAAUCCUUUGGGGACCAUGA
rnacentral:lncRNA from 1 species